CAGCGGCGGACGGGUGAGUAACGCGUGAGCAACCUUUCCUUCACAGGGGAAUAACGCAGCGAAAGCUGUGCUAAUACCGCAUGAGACCACAAGAUCGCAUGGUCAAGGGGUCAAAGGAGCAAUCCGGUGAAGGGUGGGCUCGCGUCUGAUUAGCUAGUUGGCGGGGUAACGGCCCACCAAGGUAACGAUCAGUAGCCGACCUGAGAGGGUGAUCGGCCACACUGGGACUGAGACACGGCCCAGACUCCUACGGGAGGCAGCAGUGGGGAAUAUUGGGCAAUGGGCGAAAGCCUGACCCAGCAACGCCGCGUGAGGGAAGAAGGUUUUCGGAUCGUAAACCUCUGUCCUUGGUGAAGAGUAAGAGACGGUAGCCAAGGAGGAAGCCCCGGCUAACUACGUGCCAGCAGCCGCGGUAAUACGUAGGGGGCGAGCGUUGUCCGGAAUGAUUGGGCGUAAAGGGCGCGUAGGCGGCCUGUUAAGUCUGGAGUGAAAUUCCUGCUUUCAAGGUAGGAAAUGCUUUGGAAACUGGCGGGCUGGAGUGCAGGAGAGGUUAGCGGAAUUCCCGGUGUAGCGGUGAAAUGCGUAGAGAUCGGGAGGAACACCAGUGGCGAAGGCGGCUAACUGGACUGUAACUGACGCUGAGGCGCGAAAGUGUGGGGAGCAAACAGGAUUAGAUACCCUGGUAGUCCACACUGUAAACGAUGAAUGCUAGGUGUAGGGGGUAUCGACCCCUUCUGUGCCGGAGUAAACACAAUAA
rnacentral:rRNA from 1 species